UGAGCCUUGACAGUUUGGGUUCCUGGGC
rnacentral:piRNA from 1 species